AACGAACGCUGGCGGCAGGCUUAACACAUGCAAGUCGAACGCCCCGCAAGGGGAGUGGCAGACGGGUGAGUAACGCGUGGGAACAUACCCUUUUCUACGGAAUAGCUCUGGGAAACUGGAAUUAAUACCGUAUACGCCCUACGGGGGAAAGAUUUAUCGGGGAAGGAUUGCCCCGCGUUGGAUUAGCUAGUUGGUGGGGUAAAGGCCUACCAAGGCGACGAUCCAUAGCUGGUCUGAGAGGAUGAUCAGCCACAUUGGGACUGAGACACGGCCCAAACUCCUACGGGAGGCAGCAGUGGGGAAUAUUGGACAAUGGGCGCAAGCCUGAUCCAGCCAUGCCGCGUGAGUGAUGAAGGCCUUAGGGUUGUAAAGCUCUUUCACCGAUGAAGAUAAUGACGGUAGUCGGAGAAGAAGCCCCGGCUAACUUCGUG
rnacentral:rRNA from 1 species